AAGACGACCAGCAUGGGGAAGAAGUAGUAUUUGUGGUGGCUCCAAAGAAAACAGGAGAACAAGAGUUAAAAGGAAAGGUCCUGUUGUUCCUGUUUGAAGUCAAUAGGUGCUCUUAGUGCACAAAAAAUGCACCCUGGAAUGUUAUGCAAUCAAAUUGGGCUUCCACCUGCCCAGUCUUCAAGGAAACAUCAGCAGCUGGUGAUGGGAAGAGGCCUCAUUAGUAAGAGAGAAGCAGCAAUCGGAAUUCCACUGAUCUCAGCUGGCUCAAUCACUUGUGACAGCAUCCCAGCAACCAGCUAGUUCAGGUUCUUCUGCUGAGCCCUUGGCCACUUCCACAUGCUUAUUGCCAGAAGUGAGCAGGAGCCCAGUCCCACUCAGGGCACUGUCACAAGUACAAGACCUUCUGGGCUAUCUUAUUUAAGGAAGCAGAAGUUGGUUCUUGGAUGAUGAUCCACUGAAGAUCAUGGCAAACCACUUGCUCCCCUGGAAACUGCUUUUUAUCAUCUCUUUUGAGUACAAGAAGCAGUCUCUGCAGUGAGAUGGAUCA